rnacentral:lncRNA from 1 species
GGUACCUGUAUUACAGACUCAGAGAAUAUCAUAAUGUAGAAAGUGGGCUAAAAAAAACAACAGAGACAACAGCCAAUGCCAGGAUAUAGACAGACCCAUGCACUUUACAUUUUACAUCAAUUAAAAAAUUAAAAUGAAUUUUAUGUAAAUUUUAUGGUUUUGAGAAAAAAAAUGUAUUUCUGUUCAACAUUAUAGAAAAACAAAUUUUG